UCUCAAUCUACCAUUACUCUAACACGUUUGACCCCAAAAUCAAAGAUCAAAACAGAUCAAACACUCCUCUCUACUAGCAACACACUCUAUCUCUAUCUCACGCUUGCUCACCCACUGAGGAUGCUACCCACCUGAGUUCUUAGAUCCGUUUAUGCUUGGGAUCCUCUUGGUGAUUUCUAGCAAGGAAACUGUGGAGUUACUGAACUAUUGAUUCAGGGUUCUGAUUGUUACCAAACCGUGAUUUUUUGUGGACAAAUUGGAUCUUAAUUUGUUCGUGUUUCUCUCUAUAGGGAUUGCUUGGCCGUAACCGAGGUAGAGCAAGAUCUGGCAUUAUAGAGCUACCUUGUGGUGCUGGAAAGUCUCUAGUUGGUGUCUCUGCAGCUUGCUGAAUAAAAAAAAGCUCCCUUUGCUUAGCAGCAAAUGCUGUUUCUGUGGAUCAGUGGGCUUUCCAGUUCAGGCUAUGGUCAACCAUCCAAGAAGAUCAAAUUAUUAGCUGUUGAUUAAUUGUGAAUUGUGAGAUUAGGGAGAAAGUUAUGAGGGUUAGAGAGUUAGAUAUUGUACAAGCUAGCACUAGUAGUGUCAUGAUUAUCUUUCAUUUUUAUUAUGUUGUUGUUGUGUUUUGCCUCAAUGUACAACAAUAUAAGGGUGAAGAACCUUAGUCUGCCAUGAUGCUUGUGGGGUAUUUAAAUUCAUUUUGGUGGUAUACCAACCCUAUUUGGACA